UCUAGUGCUAUUGAAAUCUUUUUUAAAGAAAUUAACCAGAUGCAUGUGCUACUUUUUGUAAUAUUUUUGCAGGAUGUUACUUUUUAUAAUUUUUUUUGAAAAUGCCACACGAUAGAUGAAUUUGAACCAAUUCAUUUCCAGUCACUGCAGAAGGGCAGCUCUCUCACCAUUAGUCAGUCAGAUGGUCUCUUCCACUGGGUUGGACAAGAAAGAAACAGGUGGACAGUUGGCUUGUAUUGAUGCUCUUAAAGGAGGUGACAUGUCCAGGAAACUGAAGCAGAACAAAUUGUAUACCUCUGACAAAUCUCCCAAAGUUUCCAGGAUCUGUGGCUUCCUGGCUUGUUAAUGUAAUCAGUGAACCAUCUCACGAGCAUCGUUCAGGGUGAGUUAUUUCUGGGAAGUUCUCUAAAAAUAAUUAAAUCUAUUUUGUUGGCUCAGGUUUCUUUUACUGAGAUUAAAACAUAUUUUCUCAACUUUUAUCUAUUUACUUCAGGCUCUGUCUGUGU
rnacentral:lncRNA from 12 species